rnacentral:lncRNA from 1 species
CCGUGUUGGUGUCCUAUGUGCCACCCAUGAUGUUCUCUCCUGCAUGGACAUCCCAAAGACGCUCUUAGGUGGCACAUGCGCUGGUCCUAUUGCUGCGUGUGAUGUGCCUUGCUGCUAGGCGUUGAUCCAGUUUGUAAGUUUUUUAGUCCAAUCCAGUUUGUAAGGCUUUUUUUUAGCCCAAUCCAGUUUGUAAGUAGUGCUACGUGAGAGAUGAUCAGAUGAGACGGGCCUGAUAAUCUUGUUGCUGCUGUUGUACUACAUGUCCAUCGGGAGCAAGGUUAGGAGAAAAGAAGAGAAAAGAAGCGGCGAAAGUGACACAGUCCAGUACAGAUCUCGCAUUGAAUCCUCCCCUAUAAGGGUAACAUUCUCUCAUUUGGAUUGAUUAAUGUUGGAAAUUCUGUUUUUCUUCUAAUUUUAAUCCUUCAUUCAGGUAUGCAUCUAAUCAGUUGUACUGCAUCUAAUGUACAUAUGCUGUGUGGCAAAAAGAUGUUUGUAAACUCAAAUACGUAUGCUUCGGAUGUGUCUAAUAUAUGUUACAUUAGCACCAAAUUAGCGCUUCUCAUUAACCAUGCUCCCAUGAUAUCUAACAUAUGCUUCUAAUACAGAGAUCUAAUGUGAUCGCGGACAUUAGAAUCUUACACCCAUCUCGGCAAGCAUGCAGAUUUCUGAAAUCUAAUCAGUUGCAGUGUCAAACCAUUGCUUCGUAUUAGCCUUGCUUCCUACUUUUUUAUUUAUCACAACUUUUUUGCUUCACCCACUACCGACAUGUGCUUUAGUCGCUGCCAGUGUUGCUUCCUGGAGUGAAUUUUUGACACAACCAUUGCCUGUGUGAGCACUUCAUUGUUUCCCAUUGAUGAUUUUACUAUGCAGGUUUCUCUGCCUACAACCUGAUGCAUUGUAAAGAUGUCGAGUACGCUACCACCAAGAUGUGGUGGUCUUAUUGAUGACGGCGAGCUCGCGUGCAUGUGAGAUAGUCCAGUCAGCGUGCUUGCGACGCUAACUAGACGGGUGGAAAAUAAUGUUGUUGUGAUAGCAAUUUUUAUUUCUUAAUAAUUUUUAAAAAUGAGGACAUAUGUAAUUACCAGUUGCAUAUUUUGCCCAGCCCUUCAUUGUCACCAUGGAAGCAAAUUCUCGAUAUAAUUGAAGCAAUGGUUCAUUGUCGUGGAAGCAUAUCCCAUAACGGAAGCAACAUGUGCUUACAACAGAACAAAAAUUUCAUUAUAUUCCAAGGAGAUAGGAGUUUGCUUCCAUCUGCCUAUUCACAACACAAGCAGACACAAAUUAUUCGACACAAAUGAUGGUAACAAUUUAUAUUAUUAUGGAAGCAAGUUGAGUCGAUGAUAGUAUAUUAUAAUUGAGUCGAAUGUUGAGUUGGAUAAAUUUUUUCUUACAUCGGGCUUGCUUGAUUUGUAUGGAGAUACAGGGUUAAUGCUCUGCCGAAUAUGCAUGCAAGGCACUGUUUUGGAUUGAUUGGCAUUUUAUGGCAACCUUCAGAUGUUGAUGCAAAAGACAAGUGACAUGUUACUGUUUUCAUAUGAUCUAUUUAAUUAGCUUUUGUCCAAUGUGGUCAUGGCACAAGGCACAAUUUUGCCAAAUGUAUUGCUUGAUACAGGUAGGGAACAUAAACACAUCUACAUGAGCUAUUUCAUUCUUUGCUUUGCU